CACACGACUCUCGGCAACGGAUAUCUCGGCUCUCGCAUCGAUGAAGAACGUAGCGAAAUGCGAUACCUGGUGUGAAUUGCAGAAUCCCGCGAACCAUCGAGUCUUUGAACGCAAGUUGCGCCCGAGGCCUCUUGGCUGAGGGCACGCCUGCCUGGGCGUCACGC
rnacentral:rRNA from 19 species